UACGUAGGGUGCGAGCGUUAUCCGGAAUUAUUGGGCGUAAAGAGCUCGUAGGCGGUUUGUCACGUCUGCUGUGAAAGCCCAGGGCUUAACCCUGGGUUUGCAGUGGGUACGGGCAGGCUGGAGUGCAGUAGGGGAGACUGGAAUUCCUGGUGUAGCGGUGAAAUGCGCAGAUAUCAGGAGGAACACCGAUGGCGAAGGCAGGUCUCUGGGCUGUUACUGACGCUGAGGAGCGAAAGCAUGGGGAGCGAACAGG
rnacentral:rRNA from 1 species